AUCUCAUAUAAUCCUUUCAACAACUGUGAAACACCAACACUGAGGCUCAGAGAGGCUAAGUCAUUUAUGCCAGGUGGAAUUGAGAGCUGAACCUGGACCUUCCAAUGUCUCCUGCCUUCCGAGCUCUGGAGACUGGGAAGUCCAAUGGCAUACCACCAGCACCUUGAC